GACGAACGCUGGCGGCGUGCUUAACACAUGCAAGUCGAACGGUGAAGCGAGUGCUUGCACUCGUGGAUCAGUGGCGAACGGGUGAGUAACACGUGAGUAACCUGCCCAUCACUCUGGGAUAAGCACUGGAAACGGUGUCUAAUACUGGAUACGACCAACCCUUGCAUGGGGUGUUGGUGGAAAGAUUUAUCGGUGAUGGAUGGACUCGCGGCCUAUCAGCUUGUUGGCGGGGUAAUGGCCCACCAAGGCGACGACGGGUAGCCGGCCUGUGAGGGUGACCGGCCACACUGGGACUGAGACACGGCCCAGACUCCUACGGGAGGCAGCAGUGGGGAAUAUUGCACAAUGGGCGAAAGCCUGAUGCAGCGACGCCGCGUGAGGGAUGACGGCCUUCGGGUUGUAAACCUCUUUCAGCAGGGAAGAAGCGAAAGUGACGGUACCUGCAGAAGAAGCACCGGCUAACUACGUG
rnacentral:rRNA from 1 species